AACUUGCAAGGGUUGCAAGGAAUAUUUUGUUGGACAUAAGAAGUGAUCUUGGCUUAUGUAUUCAUCUUUAGUCUUGACUGAGCCUGAUCAAAUGCUAAGGGCUUAUCUUCCCUUGAUAAAUGUGGUGCAGGGACCAAUUUACCACCAGGGAAGCCCAGGGAAUAGCUUGUGGGUUUUAUAAUGAGACAAAGGGCACUCAUCAAUAUUAUUGGAUGGCGAACAUAAGACCCAAAGAACGAGAAGGAGGAAAAGAGGAGGAAGAAGAGGAGUCAAUUGAAUUUCCUUCCAUAUUACCAAGAUUGAGCACUGUUUCUAUGGAAAACCACCUUAAAUAACAAAAGUGGCCUUGUCCAGGAUACAUCACUACCCAGCGCUGAGCCAAAUAUGGGGCUUGAGCUCACCACCCUGAGAUCAAGACCUGGAGCUGAGAUCUAGAAUUGGACGCUCAACUGACUGAGCCACACAGUGCAAGUCUCCUCCAACCAAGACUAACAGAUGAAUUUCCUUUCAAGAGGCCAUGGACAAGAAAAUUUCGUGCCACCAUGAAGAGAGGCUUUGAAGAAAAAUUCACUGCUCAAGAUCAAAAUCUAGUGAACCGUAAAUCUGAAAUUUGAAUCAAGGUGAGCCACUGCACUGCAGAGAUGUCACACUAGAACAAGCUAAGGUCCAUUUCUGUCCCUGAAUCCAUACUUCGUAUAUAACUUAAAUGUAACUCCAAUUCUUCAUCUUCUUGUUCUCAUUUUGAGAUGAACUUGACUUUAGCUUGGAAAUGACACUGCAUUUAUAAUGAUAUCCAGCCAUCUAAACUAUGUCUGACCCAUAGUAGAUGCAAAAGAAUUAUUUGUUAAAUGAAUAUUCAGCCACAUUUUGGGGUAGUGGCCAGCCAUGGGUGAGAAGAAUGUGCAUUGAAGACCAUCAGGAACAAGUAUCAUAAU